CCUUCGAUAGCUCAGUUGGUAGAGCGGAGGACUGUAGGGUAUACACGGUAAUCCUUAGGUCGCUGGUUCGACUCCGGCUCGAAGGA